rfam:Myotis lucifugus cont2.5017, whole genome shotgun sequence.
GUCGAUGUGGUUCAGUGGUUAGAGCAUCAGCUCACAAACCGAAGGGUCGCAGGUUCAAUUCCAGUCAAGGACA